rnacentral:lncRNA from 1 species
GUGUAGAUAUAUUCAGAAGAUCUGCUGCUGUUUCAACCAGAAAUAGACUGCCGGUGGUGUAAGACAGGAUCCCUAAUGUUUUAUUAUUUUUAUAUAUUUUAUUAUUAAUGAUUAAUUGUUGUUUUGUGAUCACUUUAUGUAUCUGGCCGUGUUUUAUGACCAGCUGAAAAGGGUCACACACUCAGGAGUGAGAGGAGUGAAGAUAUAGAACUAGAGGAACCUGUAUCUUCCACAACAGUCACACCGAUGUUAACGAAAAGCAGAGAAUCGUCUCAUCCUCCUCUAAGUAAAAUCUGGAAACGGGAACAAGGCAUCACAUGAGGUGAUAAACAGGUGAGGCAUUAGUGAGAAUCAGUCCAGGUAAAACUGUUUAAACUCAGAACGUUUAUUAUUGUACAGCAGGAAAGAGCUUUACAACUAAAUUACAACCAAAACUGAAAACUGAUCAACAGCAAGCAUCAAUACCAAGAGUUAUAAAAGCACUGAGGAUCCAUUCUCACACAUUUUUUUAAUUUUUUUCUGAGCUCGUCCUCGAAGUGUGAACUUAAAUA